ACAAACGCUGGCGGCGUGCCUAAUACAUGCAAGUAGAACGCUGAAGAGAGGAGCUUGCUCUUCUUGGAUGAGUUGCGAACGGGUGAGUAACGCGUAGGUAACCUGCCUUGUAGCGGGGGAUAACUAUUGGAAACGAUAGCUAAUACCGCAUAACAAUGGAUGACACAUGUCAUUUAUUUGAAAGGGGCAAUUGUUCCACUACAAGAUGGACCUGCGUUGUAUUAGCUAGUAGGUGAGGUAAUGGCUCACCUAGGCGACGAUACAUAGCCGACCUGAGAGGGUGAUCGGCCACACUGGGACUGAGACACGGCCCAGACUCCUACGGGAGGCAGCAGUAGGGAAUCUUCGGCAAUGGGGGCAACCCUGACCGAGCAACGCCGCGUGAGUGAAGAAGGUUUUCGGAUCGUAAAGCUCUGUUGUAAGUCAAGAACGGGUGUGAGAGUGGAAAGUUCACACUGUGACGGUAGCUUACCAGAAAGGGACGGCUAACUACGUGCCAGCAGCCGCGGUAAUACGUAGGUCCCGAGCGUUGUCCGGAUUUAUUGGGCGUAAAGCGAGCGCAGGCGGUUUGAUAAGUCUGAAGUUAAAGGCUGUGGCUCAACCAUAGUUCGCUUUGGAAACUGUCAAACUUGAGUGCAGAAGGGGAGAGUGGAAUUCCAUGUGUAGCGGUGAAAUGCGUAGAUAUAUGGAGGAACACCGGUGGCGAAAGCGGCUCUCUGGUCUGUAACUGACGCUGAGGCUCGAAAGCGUGGGGAGCGAACAGGAUUAGAUACCCUGGUAGUCCACGCCGUAAACGAUGAGUGCUAGGUGUUGGAUCCUUUCCGGGAUUCAGUGCCGCAGCUAACGCAUUAAGCACUCCGCCUGGGGAGUACGACCGCAAGGUUGAAACUCAAAGGAAUUGACGGGGGCCCGCACAAGCGGUGGAGCAUGUGGUUUAAUUCGAAGCAACGCGAAGAACCUUACCAGGUCUUGACAUCCCGAUGCUAUUUCUAGAGAUAGAAAGUUACUUCGGUACAUCGGUGACAGGUGGUGCAUGGUUGUCGUCAGCUCGUGUCGUGAGAUGUUGGGUUAAGUCCCGCAACGAGCGCAACCCCUAUUGUUAGUUGCCAUCAUUCAGUUGGGCACUCUAGCGAGACUGCCGGUAAUAAACCGGAGGAAGGUGGGGAUGACGUCAAAUCAUCAUGCCCCUUAUGACCUGGGCUACACACGUGCUACAAUGGUUGGUACAACGAGUUGCGAGUCGGUGACGGCGAGCUAAUCUCUUAAAGCCAAUCUCAGUUCGGAUUGUAGGCUGCAACUCGCCUACAUGAAGUCGGAAUCGCUAGUAAUCGCGGAUCAGCACGCCGCGGUGAAUACGUUCCCGGGCCUUGUACACACCGCCCGUCACACCACGAGAGUUUGUAACACCCGAAGUCGGUGAGGUAACCUUUUGGAGCCAGCCGCCUAAGGUGGGACAGAUGAUUGGGGUG
rnacentral:rRNA from 1 species